rnacentral:lncRNA from 1 species
GUGGAAUUUGUCUUCAAAUUAUUACUGUUAUUAAUCUUGUAUUUAUGCAAAUAUUCUCAGCUUAGUGGUUUCAUUCCAAAUCUCGGGAUUAAUGCAGUCUUUUAUAAAGGUUACAGAGACAGAUACAGAAAAUAGGGGCGUAAUUCAUGUAAAGGUUAAAAAAACGUUGAGAAUAGCAAAAUAUUUUUUUUGAAAUUUGAA